GAGUCAACAUAGCAAUAUGUGGCAUACGGCUCAGUAACACGUAGUCAACAUGCCCAGGGGACGUGGAUAACCUCGGGAAACUGAGGAUAAACCGCGAUAGGUCAUCACUUCUGGAAUGGGUAAUGACUUAAAUCUAUAUGGCCCCUGGAUUGGACUGCGGCCUAUCAGGCUGUUGGUGAGGUAAUGGCCCACCAAACCUGUAACCGGUACGGGCUCUGAGAGGAGGAGCCCGGAGAUGGGCACUGAGACAAGGGCCCAGGCCCUAUGGGGCGCAGCAGGCGCGAAACCUCUGCAAUAGGCGAAAGCUUGACAGGGUUACUCUGAGUGAUUUCCGUUAAGGAGAUCUUUUGGCACCUCUAAAAAUGGUGCAGAAUAAGGGGUGGGCAAGUCUGGUGUCAGCCGCCGCGGUAAUACCAGCACCCCGAGUGGUCGGGACGUUUAUUGGGCCUAAAGCAUCCGUAGCCGGUUCUACAAGUCUUCCGUUAAAUCCACCUGCUUAACAGAUGGGCUGCGGAAGAUACUAUAGAGCUAGGAGGCGGGAGAGGCAAGCGGUACUCGAUGGGUAGGGGUAAAAUCCGUUGAUCCAUUGAAGACCACCAGUGGCGAAGGCGGCUUGCCAGAACGCGCUCGACGGUGAGGGAUGAAAGCUGGGGGAGCAAACCGGAUUAGAUACCCGGGUAGUCCCAGCUGUAAACGAUGCACACUCGGUGAUGAGUUGGCUUAUUGCUAACUCAGUGCCGCAGGGAAGCCGUUAAGUUUGCCGCCUGGGGAGUACGGUCGCAAGACUGAA
rnacentral:rRNA from 1 species